rnacentral:rRNA from 1 species
AUACGUAGGGGACAAGCGUUAUCCGGAUUUACUGGGUUUAAAGGGAGCGCAGACGGCAGUGCAAGUCUGAAGUGGAAGCCCGGGGCUCAAUCCCGGGACUGCUUUGGAAACUGUUCUGCUAGAGCCCUGGAAGGGCAAGAGGAAUUCCUGGUGUAGCGGUGAAAUGCGUAGAUAUCAGGAGGAACACCGGUGGCGAAGGCGGCUUGCUGGACAGCAACUGACGUUGAGGCUCGAGAGCGUGGGGAGCAAACAGGAUUAGAUACCCUGGUAGUCCACGCUGUAAACGAUGAAUACCAGGUGUUGGGAGACAUAGUCUUUCAGUGCCGUCGCAAACGCAGUAAGUAUUCCACCUGGGGAGUACGUUCGCAAGAAUGUAACUCAAAUGAAUGGACGGGG